rnacentral:rRNA from 1 species
UACGAAGGGGGCUAGCGUUGUUCGGAAUCACUGGGCGUAAAGCGCACGUAGGCGGAUCUUUUAAGUCAGGGGUGAAAUCCCGAGGCUCAACCUCGGAACUGCCUUUGAUACUGGGGAUCUCGAGUCCGGGAGAGGUGAGUGGAACUGCGAGUGUAGAGGUGAAAUUCGUAGAUAUUCGCAAGAACACCAGUGGCGAAGGCGGCUCACUGGCCCGGAACUGACGCUGAGGUGCGAAAGCGUGGGGAGCAAACAGGG